rnacentral:rRNA from 1 species
GUGUCAGCAGCCGCGGUAAUACAGAGGGUGCGAGCGUUGUCCGGAAUCACUGGGCGUAAAGGGCGCGUAGGCGGCUCAGUAAGGUUGCGGUGAAAGCCCGGGGCUCAACCCCGGGUCGGCCGUGGCAACUGCUGGGCUGGAGCACUGUAGAGGCAGGUGGAAUUCCGGGUGUAGCGGUGGAAUGCGUAGAGAUCCGGAAGAACACCGGUGGCGAAGGCGGCCUGCUGGGCAGUAGCUGACGCUGAGGCGCGACAGCGUGGGGAGCAAACAGGAUUAGAUACCCUGGUAGUCC